UUGAUAGGCCGGGUGUGUAAGCGCAGCGAUGCGUUGAGCUUACCGGUACUAAUGACCCGUGAGGCUUAACCUUA
rnacentral:rRNA from 1 species